AACGAACGCUGGCGGCAUGCCUAACACAUGCAAGUCGAACGAGACCUUCGGGUCUAGUGGCGCACGGGUGCGUAACGCGUGGGAAUCUGCCCUUGGGUUCGGAAUAACAGUUAGAAAUGACUGCUAAUACCGGAUAAUGUCUUCGGACCAAAGAUUUAUCGCCCAGGGAUGAGCCCGCGUAGGAUUAGCUAGUUGGUGAGGUAAAGGCUCACCAAGGCGACGAUCCUUAGCUGGUCUGAGAGGAUGAUCAGCCACACUGGGACUGAGACACGGCCCAGACUCCUACGGGAGGCAGCAGUGGGGAAUAUUGGACAUGGGCGAAAGCCUGAUCCAGCAAUGCCGCGUGAGUGAUGAAGGCCUUAGGGUUGUAAAGCUACUUUUACCCGGGGAUGAUAAUGACAGUACCGGGAGAAUAAGCCCCGGCUAACUCCGU
rnacentral:rRNA from 1 species